UGGACCCCAGGUGAGGCCCCGGGCGUGGCCCAGGUGUGUCCAGGUGUGCCCAGGUGUGCUCAGGUGUUCCCCAGGUGUGCCCAGGUGUGUCCCCAGGUGUGUCCAGGUGUGCUCAGGUGUGUCCAGGUGUGCCCAGGUGUCCCCAGGUGUCCCCAGGUGUCCCCAGGUGUAUCCCAGGUGUGUCCAGGUGUGCCCAGGUGUGCCCAGGUGUGUCCAGGUGUAUCCAGGUGUCCCCAGGUGUCCCCAGGUGUGUCCAGGUGUGUCCAGGUGCACUCAGGUGUGUCCCAGGUGUCCCCAGGUGUGUCCAGGUGUAUCCAGGUGUCCCCAGGUGUCCCCAGGUGUAUCCAGGUGUGUCCCCAGGUGUCCCCAGGUGUGUCCAGGUGUAUCCAGGUGCACUCAGGUGUGUCCUCAGGUGUGCCCAGGUGCACUCAGGUGUGUCCC
rnacentral:lncRNA from 1 species